rnacentral:rRNA from 1 species
UACGUAGGGUGCAAGCGUUAUCCGGAAUUAUUGGGCGUAAAGAGCUCGUAGGCGGUUUGUCACGUCUGCUGUGAAAACUGGAGGCUCAACCUCCAGCCUGCAGUGGGUACGGGCAGACUAGAGUGCGGUAGGGGAGAUUGGAAUUCCUGGUGUAGCGGUGAAAUGCGUAGAGAUUGGGAAGAACACCGGUGGCGAAAGCGCUCUGCUGGACCACACUACAUCACAGGACAAAGCUAGGGGAGAAAGGGG